rnacentral:rRNA from 1 species
ACGGCUCAGUAACACGUAGUCAACAUAACCAGAGGACGUGGAUAAACUCGGGAAACUGAGGCUAAACCGCGAUAGACCAAGAUACCUGGAAUGGUUUUUGAUCAAAAUCUAUAUGGCCUUUGGAUUGGACUGCGACCGAUCAGGCUGUUGGUGAGGUAAUGGCCCACCAAACCUGUAACCGGUACGGGCUCUGAGAGGAGGAGCCCGGAGAUGGGUACUGAGAAAAGGACCCAGGCCCUAUGGGGCGCAGCAGGCGCGAAACCUCUGCAAUAGGCGAAAGCCUGACAGGGUUAUUCUGAGUGACUUUCGCUAAGAAAGUCUUUUGACAUCUCUAAAAAUGGUGUAGAAUAAGGGGUGGGCAAGUCUGGUGUCAGCCGCCGCGGUAAUACCAGCACCCCGAGUGGUCGGGACGAUUAUUGGGCCUAAAGCAUCCGUAGCCGGUUUUACAAGUCCUCCGUUAAAUCCAACUGCUUAACAGAUGGGCCGCGGAGGAUACUAUAAGACUAGGAGGCAGGAGAGGCAAGCGGUACUCAGUGGGUAGGGGUAAAAUCCGUUGAUCCAUUGAAGACCACCAGUGGCGAAGGCGGCUUGCCAGAAUGCGCUCGACGGUGAGGGAUGAAAGCUGGGGGAGCAAACCGGAUUAGAUACCCGGGUAGUCCCAGCUGUAAACGAUGCAGACUCGGUGAUGGACUAGCUUAAUGCUAGUCCAGUGCCGCAGGGAAGCCGUUAAGUCUGCCGCCUGGGUAGUACGGUCGCAAGACUGAAACUUAAGGAAAAUUGGCGGGGGAG